AUUGAACGCUGGCGGCAGGCCUAACACAUGCAAGUCGAACGAGUGGCGGACGGGUGAGUAAUGUCUGGGAAACUGCCCGAUGUCGGGGGAUAACUACUGGAAACGGUAGCUAAUAACGCAUACCAGCGGAUGUGCCCAGAGGGGAUUAGCUAGUGGGUGGGGUAACGGGUCACCUGGGCGACGAUGCCUAGCUGGUCUGAGAGGAUGAGCAGCCACACUGGAACGAAGACACGUUCCAGACUCCUACGGGAGGCAGCAGUGGGGAAAGUUGCACAUUUGGCGCAAGCCGGAUGCAGCCAUGCCGCGGAUAUGAAGAAGGCCUUCGGGUUGUACAGGUCUUUAAGCGAGGAGGCGUUACUCGCAGAAGAAGCACCGGCUAACUACGUGCCAGCAGCCGCGGUAAUAC
rnacentral:rRNA from 1 species